rnacentral:rRNA from 1 species
GGUUAAGCGACUAAGCGUACACGGUGGAUGCCCUGGCAGUCAGAGGCGAUGAAGGACGUGCUAAUCUGCGAUAAGCGUCGGUAAGGUGAUAUGAACCGUUAUAACCGGCGAUUUCCGAAUGGGGAAACCCAGUGUGAUUCGUCACACUAUCAUUAACUGAAUCCAUAGGUUAAUGAGGCGAACCGGGGGAACUGAAACAUCUAAGUACCCCGAGGAAAAGAAAUCAACCGAGAUUCCCCCAGUAGCGGCGAGCGAACGGGGAGCAGCCCAGAGCCUGAAUCAGUGUGUGUGUUAGUGGAAGCGUCUGGAAAGGCGCGCGAUACAGGGUGACAGCCCCGUACACAAAAAUGCACAUGCUGUGAGCUCGAUGAGUAGGGCGGGACACGUGGUAUCCUGUCUGAAUAUGGGGGGACCAUCCUCCAAGGCUAAAUACUCCUGACUGACCGAUAGUGAACCAGUACCGUGAGGGAAAGGCGAAAAGAACCCCGGCGAGGGGAGUGAAAAAGAACCUGAAACCGUGUACGUACAAGCAGUGGGAGCACGCUUAGGCGUGUGACUGCGUACCUUUUGUAUAAUGGGUCAGCGACUUAUAUUCUGUAGCAAGGUUAACCGAAUAGGGGAGCCGAAGGGAAACCGAGUCUUAACUGGGCGUUAAGUUGCAGGGUAUAGACCCGAAACCCGGUGAUCUAGCCAUGGGCAGGUUGAAGGUUGGGUAACACUAACUGGAGGACCGAACCGACUAAUGUUGAAAAAUUAGCGGAUGACUUGUGGCUGGGGGUGAAAGGCCAAUCAAACCGGGAGAUAGCUGGUUCUCCCCGAAAGCUAUUUAGGUAGCGCCUCGUGAAUUCAUCUCCGGGGGUAGAGCACUGUUUCGGCAAGGGGGUCAUCCCGACUUACCAACCCGAUGCAAACUGCGAAUACCGGAGAAUGUUAUCACGGGAGACACACGGCGGGUGCUAACGUCCGUCGUGAAGAGGGAAACAACCCAGACCGCCAGCUAAGGUCCCAAAGUCAUGGUUAAGUGGGAAACGAUGUGGGAAGGCCCAGACAGCCAGGAUGUUGGCUUAGAAGCAGCCAUCAUUUAAAGAAAGCGUAAUAGCUCACUGGUCGAGUCGGCCUGCGCGGAAGAUGUAACGGGGCUAAACCAUGCACCGAAGCUGCGGCAGCGACGCUGAUGCGUUGUUGGGUAGGGGAGCGUUCUGUAAGCCUGUGAAGGUGUACUGUGAGGUAUGCUGGAGGUAUCAGAAGUGCGAAUGCUGACAUAAGUAACGAUAAAGCGGGUGAAAAGCCCGCUCGCCGGAAGACCAAGGGUUCCUGUCCAACGUUAAUCGGGGCAGGGUGAGUCGACCCCUAAGGCGAGGCCGAAAGGCGUAGUCGAUGGGAAACAGGUUAAUAUUCCUGUACUUGGUGUUACUGCGAAGGGGGGACGGAGAAGGCUAUGUUGGCCGGGCGACGGUUGUCCCGGUUUAAGCGUGUAGGCUGGUUUUCCAGGCAAAUCCGGAAAAUCAAGGCUGAGGCGUGAUGACGAGGCACUACGGUGCUGAAGCAACAAAUGCCCUGCUUCCAGGAAAAGCCUCUAAGCAUCAGGUAACAUCAAAUCGUACCCCAAACCGACACAGGUGGUCAGGUAGAGAAUACCAAGGCGCUUGAGAGAACUCGGGUGAAGGAACUAGGCAAAAUGGUGCCGUAACUUCGGGAGAAGGCACGCUGAUAUGUAGGUGAAGCGACUUGCUCGUGGAGCUGAAAUCAGUCGAAGAUACCAGCUGGCUGCAACUGUUUAUUAAAAACACAGCACUGUGCAAACACGAAAGUGGACGUAUACGGUGUGACGCCUGCCCGGUGCCGGAAGGUUAAUUGAUGGGGUCAGCGCAAGCGAAGCUCUUGAUCGAAGCCCCGGUAAACGGCGGCCGUAACUAUAACGGUCCUAAGGUAGCGAAAUUCCUUGUCGGGUAAGUUCCGACCUGCACGAAUGGCGUAAUGAUGGCCAGGCUGUCUCCACCCGAGACUCAGUGAAAUUGAACUCGCUGUGAAGAUGCAGUGUACCCGCGGCAAGACGGAAAGACCCCGUGAACCUUUACUAUAGCUUGACACUGAACAUUGAGCCUUGAUGUGUAGGAUAGGUGGGAGGCUUGGAAGUGUGGACGCCAGUCUGCAUGGAGCCGACCUUGAAAUACCACCCUUUAAUGUUUGAUGUUCUAACGUUGACCCGUAAUCCGGGUUGCGGACAGUGUCUGGUGGGUAGUUUGACUGGGGCGGUCUCCUCCUAAAGAGUAACGGAGGAGCACGAAGGUUGGCUAAUCCUGGUCGGACAUCAGGAGGUUAGUGCAAUGGCAUAAGCCAGCUUGACUGCGAGCGUGACGGCGCGAGCAGGUGCGAAAGCAGGUCAUAGUGAUCCGGUGGUUCUGAAUGGAAGGGCCAUCGCUCAACGGAUAAAAGGUACUCCGGGGAUAACAGGCUGAUACCGCCCAAGAGUUCAUAUCGACGGCGGUGUUUGGCACCUCGAUGUCGGCUCAUCACAUCCUGGGGCUGAAGUAGGUCCCAAGGGUAUGGCUGUUCGCCAUUUAAAGUGGUACGCGAGCUGGGUUUAGAACGUCGUGAGACAGUUCGGUCCCUAUCUGCCGUGGGCGCUGGAGAACUGAGGGGGGCUGCUCCUAGUACGAGAGGACCGGAGUGGACGCAUCACUGGUGUUCGGGUUGUCAUGCCAAUGGCACUGCCCGGUAGCUAAAUGCGGAAGAGAUAAGUGCUGAAAGCAUCUAAGCACGAAACUUGCCCCGAGAUGAGUUCUCCCUGACUCCUUGAGAGUCCUGAAGGAACGUUGAAGACGACGACGUUGAUAGGCCGGGUGUGUAAGCGCAGCGAUGCGUUGAGCUAACCGGUACUAAUGAACCGUGAGGCUUAACCUU